rnacentral:tRNA from 1 species
GCCCCGGUGGCAUAAUAGUUAAGUGCUUGGCUACUAACCAAAAGGUUGGUGGUUCAAGCCCACCCAGCAGCU